CACCGACUCUGGAAAUCAUGCGGGAACUCCGAGUGUUAGGAGAGCAAAAGUCUCCCCCUGGUGGGAGAAGGUUUUUCUGCCAAGAAAUUAAAUAAAAAGUCUUUCCCAUCUCCAAGGUGCAAAGAGUGCCAACAGUAAUGAUCCACGAAUUAGAAGUCUCGAGCUCCACAUAGUAUUGACUCUACAGAUAAUUCUCAACUAAAUCUUUGGUAUCCUACUGUCAAUAAUUAACUUGAAAGUUUAAGAACGUAAUGGUUUCCCAUAAAAUUGCUGCAGUGACAGCUCAGUUCUUUUCCUGCUGUGUUACUUAAUUGCAGCCUGAUUUUACAACAACUUCAUGAAUUUACUGCUUUCAAAUAAUUUGAAUUUAUUACUGUAUGUGAAGAAUAUUCUUUUUUUGGAAUUACAUGAAAAUGCUAAUAAAUUGGGCCUUUAUUUAUGCUGGUGCUCUCUUUCUUUUUCCUUUAACAGUACAUAUGUUCCAGUUCCACGGAAAAUCAAAGUCAAAAAAGAAAAGAUCCUGGUUUAUAAUCCAGCUUUUAUGAAAUACAUCUAUGAAAACUGGCUUGAGCAUCAUGGGAGAUACCCCUCCACAGGCCUUCUGUCCUUGAUGUUUGCUCUCCAUGUAUGCGAUGAGGUGAAUGUGUAUGGCUUUGGAGCAGACAGCAAAGGACAUUGGCAUCACUACUGGGAAAACAACACCUCAGGUGGGGCUUUCCGGAAGACAGGCGUCCACGACGGGGAUUUUGAGUUCAAUAUAACUUUGACUCUUGCCUCCAUCGAAAAAAUAAAAUUUUUCAAGGGCAGAUGACCCUGGCCACGGAGACAAGUGGGGGCUGCAAUUUCCAGCAUGCAGCAGAACAAAGCUCAGUGAAGAUGUUCUGGGCACCAGGCGGGUUUGAAUGAGUGGAUCUGCGGUGGAUUUGGGGCAUCUCACACUGCAGGGAGCAAGGCUGAGGGCCGGCUUCCAAGCUGCACAUGAUUUCCUAUCUGCAGAGAGCUGGGAGCCAGCAAUCAGUUCUGGGAAUAAAUUAAUUUCUACUUAGGCUCUACAGCUUGAUUCUUGAAUUACUGACGAAAGAUCUGCCUGUUGCAAUUAGAGGAAACCUGGGCACAGGAACUGCUAUCUGUGUGUCCAUUCUCUCCUCGAGCAAGGCAGGAGAUCCUUGAAGAAGAGUGAAAAUGACUUCUGGGACUUGAGACCCACUAAGGCAACUGUGAACAUCAUAGUAAGGAUUACCUCAAAGAAAUUAAUUCACUUCUGCUGUUAAUCUAUUUUUUGAACCAUCUCUUCUGUGUUCUCUGUUACUUCCAUUUUCAUGCUGCAUUAAGGAAAAACAUGAUGAAGUUGCCUGGAGUAGUAAAUAUUUCAACCAUUGCUUCAUCUUGCAUUGAUAGGGUCUAGAAAAUAUGAAUCGAAACAUCUCUUAUCAUGUAUUAUUU